AUCUCAUUAUUUUCUACAGAAGGCAGUGGGCGUUGAAUCAGCUGAUUAGUGAUUCUGAUAUUUAAUUUCAGUUUCAGAUACAGAAAAAAGUUAACCUUGUCUUGUCUUGUGUGCUUUUUGCUAAAAUUAAAUAUUAGAGAGAAUGACUUUCAAGAGAGUAGGUGUCUGCAUCGCAUAGAGGAUCUUCGUAAAUGCUGUGUUAUUUGGAAACCCCAUUCAAUUUCUUGUUCUGGAAUCGACAUAGAAACAAAAGACAGGGGUAUCAAUGGUGCUGAAAAGUCUAACAGGAAUGCUAUUUAGUCGUAAGAAAAAAGCUGUUACUAUCGAACAACUACACAGACAAAAGAUACUAAAAAACUCCUCAUUCAGUCAACGAUAUCCUCGUACGUUGACGGCGAUUUAUACUAUUUUAGGAUUGUCAGUAUUGUACAGCAACGUCAUCUACAAUAUUUUCUUUGAAGAGACUGUGGGUAUUGAAAAGGAAAACAUAAUUGCUGAAUACCCUAGGAAGAACAGUCCUGAGUGGCUAGUUCAUAAAUAUGACAAAUUGAAAAAGGAGAAAGCUGCCAUAGAUACUGCAAAUAAUAGGACUGAAAAUGGAAUCAGUGAAUAAAGCAAGAGCGCGAUACUUGAAAUUUCCAAAAUUGCUUUUGGAGUGCAGAGGUGAAGCAGCUGCUUAUGCGGCGUGUGUUGGUGCAGCUCAAGACAACAUUGCAAAAGGCCAGUGCCAAAAGGAUUUUGACAAAUUCAUUGUGUGUCUGAGAAGAUCUGCUGCGAAACUUGGAACACGCAUAUGAUUGAUUGACUUGUUAGUGUAGCUAGAAAUUGUUUAGUGUUCAAAAUGGUGACCUUCAGUCAACAUUGUUUGAUUGGUUUAAUUGUAAGACUUUUUUCAAUAUCAUUGGGAAACAUUCUGGAUGUGUUUACAGAGGUAAAAUACACUGAUAUUGAUUACACUGUAUUCUCAGAUGCUGCAAGUCAUGUGCUGAAAGGCAAUUCACCAUUCGAUAGACCGACUUACCGCUAUUCGCCAAUCCUUGCAUAUCUUUUAACGCCAAACAUAAUCUUGCAUCAGUCUUGGGGCAAAGUUUUGUUCUCGAUCGGCGAUAUUAUUGUCUGUAUAUUGAUCAGAAAUAUUCUAAGAAGUGAGAAAAUUAAUGAAAAGGUUAUUAUGAAAUGUAUAUUCUUUUGGCUGUACAAUCCGAUCUCAGUGAUCAUAUCUACCAGAGGCAACGCUGACUCACUGUCAGCUAUAUUAGUUCUAGGAACAUUAGCAGCAAUGAAAAAUAGAAAUUAUUUAAUGGCGGGCGUUCUGCAUGGACUGUCUAUACAUUUCAGGAUUUAUCCUCUGGUCUAUAGUUUGGCAUUGUACUUGUCAAUAUCGCCAUCCAUUGAGAUUGU
rnacentral:misc_RNA from 1 species